AGCGAACGUUUGCGGCGGGCCUAACACAUGCAAGUCGAACGCACUAGCAAUAGUGAGUGGCGCACGGGUGCGUAACACGUGGGUAAUCAACCCUCCAGCCUGGGAUAACGACUCGAAAGGGUCGCUAAUACCGGAUACGGCGCGGGAGGCUUCGGCUUCUCACGAGAAAGCCACGCAAGGGGCACUGAAGGACGAGCCUGCGGCCCAUCAGCUAGUUGGUGAGGUAAGAGCUCACCAAGGCUAAGACGGGUAGCUGGUCUGAGAGGAUGAUCAGCCACACUGGAACUGAGACACGGUCCAGACUCCUACGGGAGGCAGCAGUGGGGAAUAUUGCGCAAUGGGCGAAAGCCUGACGCAGCCACGCCGCGUGAGCGAUGAAGGCCUCGGUCGUAAGACUCUGUGGGA
rnacentral:rRNA from 1 species